rnacentral:rRNA from 1 species
GAUGAACGCUGGCGGCGUGCCUAACACAUGCAAGUCGAGCGAUUCUCUUCGGAGAAUAGCGGCGGACGGGUGAGUAACGCGUGGGUAACCUGCCCUGUACACACGGAUAACAUACCGAAAGGUAUGCUAAUACGGGAUAAUAUAAGAAAUUCGCAUGUUUUUCUUAUCAAAGCUCCGGGGGGUACAGGAUGGACCCGCGUCUGAUUAGCUAGUUGGUGAGGUAACGGCUCACCAAGGCGACGAUCAGUAGCCGACCUGAGAGGGUGAUCGGCCACAUUGGAACUGAGACACGGUCCAAACUCCUACGGGAGGCAGCAGUGGGGAAUAUUGCACAAUGGGCGAAAGCCUGAUGCAGCAACGCCGCGUGAGCGAUGAAGUAUUUCGGUAUGUAAAGCUCUAUCAGCAGGGAAGAAAGUGACGGUACCUGAAUAAGAAGCCCCGGCUAACUACGUGCCAGCCGCCGCAGUAA